UUUCUGCUCAUUGUCCAACAGGAAAGUGGGCGACUCCGUUUGACGCUGACCUCACCGAGCAGGACGACUUCAACGUGGACGAGAACACAAAGGUUCUGGUCCCCAUGAUGAACAUGGAGGCUAGAUUCAGGACCUACCAAGACCUGGAUCUGAACACCACGGUCCUUAAACUCCCCUUCACCGGCGCCUACGCCAUGCUGCUGAUGAUGCCUGACGUCAUGGCAACGCUGGAGGACUCCGUCUCCCCG